UUCUCUCUUUCUUUCCCCAGCCGCCACCCACGCCCCGCACUCUCUUGGACUCUCUUCUCCAUGACUCCACCGCGAGCAGCGUCCCUGCCCCGGCAGUUUCUUCCCCCGGCCGCCUCUCUCCCCCUGCUCGCGCCGCCCUCCACCCCCUCCCGGGCGAGACGGCCUGGAUCCGGGUUUCGCCGGCCCCAUCGUCGCCGGAUCCUGGCGCCCCUUCCCCGGCCCCUGCCCACCUCCCCGCGUGACGGCGGCCAUCUCCACCUCGACUCCAGCGCCGCCGACAGCGGCCACCGCCAUGGCGCUACCCCGCCUCCCUAUGCUACAAGGAUUCACAAAGUUUGAGGUCUUUAAAGUGAAGACCAAGGAAAUCAAGCGGACAGUCCAGAGGAUAAAGAAGCAAGAAGAUUCAAUGUCCAUACUUAUAUCGGUGUCGUAAAGAAUACAGUCCCUGUAGGUUGAGAAUUAUUUUGUCUAAUUUAGUUAUGAACUAACCUAGGUUUCUGUCAGUUAAUGCAAUGCUACGACUGCGACAAUGCCAGCUUUAUGCUACUUUUGACUCUCAUCAGCCUGUUGCGCCAUACCAACUUCAUCAUAAAAAGAGUUGCACAUUGGUUCUCAUGUUGUCUUCUAGUAUAUCUCUAGGUGAGACCAUUGGGCACGACAUAAUAUACAAUUCACAGAAGACACUUGGUUCUUCACAUGCUAGCUCACAAUCAAUCCAAAGUGAUGGAAUGGAUGGUGCUGGAACCAGUGCUGAUUGCAACAACAGUGCUAUGAAUGUGGACAUCAAUGACACUGCUAUUGGCUUGGACGUAGAUGGGGAGAAUGAAUCUGAUGAUGAUGGUGAAACCGAUGAUCGAUGAUCCUAGUAGCAAUCUAGAGUGAUGUAUUUAUUUUGAUGCUUGAACCUAAUUGCAUAUGGUGAUGUAUGGACACAAAAUGAUGUGUAUGACUUUAGUUGGUUCUGAUUUGGAUGAAUGCAAUGUCAUGCAUUUAAUUGUUGUGCAUUUCUGAAACUUUAUAUAUAUAUUGUUAUAAAAACCGAUCUGGAACUAUUUGUCA